rnacentral:rRNA from 1 species
AUGAACGCUAGCGGCAGGCUUAAUACAUGCAAGUUGAGGGGCAGCAUGAUAUACGCGAGUAUAUUGAUGGCGACCGCCGGACGGGUGAGUAAUAGGUAGGAGACCUACCUCAUACAGGGGGAUAGCAUAGAGAAAUCUGUGGUAAUACCCCAUGAGGUUAUAUGAAUAGAGGCAUAUAAUCAAAGCAUAAGUGAUUAUGCGGUAUGAGAGGGGCCUACUGACUAUUAGCUAGUUGGUGAGGUAAGGGCUCACCAAGGCGAAGAUGGUUAGGGGUUUUGAGAGAGAGACCCCCCCACAUUGGAACUGAGAGACGGUCCAGACUCCUACGGGAGGCAGCAGUAGGGAAUAUUGGGCAAUGGGCGAAAGCCUGACCCAGCCAUGCCGCGUGAAGGAAGACGGCCUUAUGGGUUGUAAACUUCUUUACUACGCGAAUAGAGGUUAGUACGAGAUACUAAUAGGAAGGUAGUGUAGUAAAAAGCACCGGCUAACUCCGUG